UAGUUUUUUUGGUUUGUUUGUUUUCUAUGUUUUGUUUUUUUAUGCCGGCUUCAAUUUAAUAAAAUUUUCUGAAACUGAUUCAAACAAAAAAGUGAAAACAAUCGUUCAUACAACAGAAACCAAAUAAAACAUACAACAGCUAAGUAAAUUACCCUAUAUUUUGUUUACCCUAAAUGACUGCCUUAUCCAAAUGCACUGACCCGAAUCUCUUUCUUUUUUUCUAUGGUAUCUGAAAGUUUGCUUUAAUUUUCCUUCUUUUUAUCUACAAACAUGGUAAAAUCGAGACAAAUGCUUGAGAGUAUUUUUGUAUAAAUUUUACACUAAUGGUAAGCGGUGUGUUUUAAGGUGAACAAGCCAUUGUGUCCCAUGCACUAACAACAGCAAUGUAGAUUUACAUGAGAAGAAACAGACUUUCUAAACACCCAUGGUAUAUCAUCCACCAUAUAGAAACCAAAAAUGUGAUACAAGGGUGUCCUCAAAACACUGAUUAUAUUAGGGGUUUUGACAUUUUAUGACUUGACUCAUCUUAGAUACUGCUAUUAUACAAUGCUUAUGUUUUUAAUAAAUAUGACAUUUUUAUUUGUAAUAUGUACUGGGGUGGGAUAUAUGACAAGGGGAUCUUUAAUUGUUUCUGUAUCACAGUUUGGUGUAAUCUUUUAUUGAAAUUGUUUGCAAUGGUGCUAUGCCUACUUACCAAUUUAAUGUAUACAUAUAGUGCAAUAUUAAUCUCAAACAGCAUUUUAUGUUUGUUAAGAUAUCCUUCCUGUUUGGUCCUGCUAAUAUUAACAGAUAUUUUUUUUUUUGUAUUGAUAAUGCUUGAAUUAUUGUUAUUGAGUUCCACGGAGCAGGAGAAGAACUUUGUUACUGUUUUAUUUUGGAUUUGUGUUUUUUUUUUUCCAAGCAGCAAUGGAUAUUAAAUGCCCUAUUUGUGGCUGGUGCUUACAGUAUUUACUAGAUAGUGUGCAGAAACAGUGUCCUAAAUCUGACAUUACAUUCCAAAACACUCAAUGAAUAAGUCAAACUUGAAAUAAAUAAAGACAUUUUGGGGGGGGGGGGAUUUUACCAAAAGUAUUUUUUAGUUAAAUGGAAACUAUAGUGCCGGGAAAACAAACUUGUUUUGUUGCAGUAAACCCUCAAAGGUAAUUAUUGCAAUUUCUUUAAAACUGCAAUAAUUGCCUUUGUAGGGUUAAAGGACCUGAUAUAUUGUCCCUUUAAGUCAUUUUAAAAUAAAUAAUUAAAAAUAAUAUAGAGUACUUAUUUCAAGACACCAACAUACAUUUUAUUUUUUAUUUUUUUAUAUUAAAAUGUAUUGCAGAUAAAAUUAUGUUAUAAUUACUAGUACACUCAUUUCAAAAAGUCAUCUUAGAUGAAUUAAUUCAGUAUUUGCCUUGUGUCCACAGCGGGUGCUGUCACACAAAAGUUGACACAUGUUUUAAACCUAUAAUUUUCUUUGAACUGGUGUGAUGUACAGUUUCAUUCAAACAUCCACUUAAUAUUGACAGUUUUGAUUAGUAAAUUAGUGAUCAGUUUUGGAAUAAAAAGAUCAGCUUUAACAAAAACGUAUUUCAUGAACAAAGAACAUGAGGACUCUGAGAAGGGGCACUCCUAAAUAGCAAAACAAAUAGCAGCUUUUGACCCAAAAAAGCUGCUAUUUUUUGCUAUGGACCAUUAAUUUUUUUUACAUGUCUGGAAUGGGGACUUAGCCAGCCCUGGUUACGGAGCAUCUGAGCUGCUAGAUGAGUGCGGUAUCGAGAACGUUUCUUCUAGAUAUUAAACUGUGACAAGCUGGGUAAAAAAAAACAAUAAAUCUAAAGGAGGAGACUAUAUUUAAAAGAAGAAAAACUACCACCACAAGAUGACAUAGUCUUAAAUUAGAGGCGCAAAGCUAUAAAAAUAAUUUCAGGAAGUAUUACUUUACAGAGAGGGUAGUGGAUGCAUGAAAUGGUUUUCCAGCUGAAGAGGUAGAGGUUAACACAGUGAGGGAGUUUAAGCAUGCGUGGGAUAGGCAUAUGGCUAUCCUAGACUUAAGAUAAGGCCUGUGAGUAAUGAAAGUAUUUAGAAAAUUGGGCAGACUAGAUGGGCCAAACGAUUCUUAUCUGCCGUCACAUUCUAUGUUUCUACCUAGCAAUGACAUUUCCAUUAGUCAAACUAUGCUAUCAUACAUGAUACAACCCUUUAACUUACAUUAAAAUAACCCAAUAGCAGCUAGAAAAACUAUUAAUACCCAUAUUGUCUGCAGCAUUGAAAAAAAAAUGGGCUCAUUACAUCCACUUCACUUCAAGACAUGGACUGGAGUGCUUGGAUAAUUUUUUGUAUUUAAUUCUUAUUUGCUUGCAGGUUCUUCUAAUAGUUUUAUGAGGAGUUUCCUAUUACAUUAUUAGACCUAUCUCAUUUAAAGAAGAUACAGAAAUCAAGGGCUUUAAGCAGACAAUAUUCAAAGGAUGAAUAUUUGUUUCCACUUUUGCUGAAAUUAUGGAAAGCACUCCCCCAUAUCUAUAAAUAAUGGUGUUCAAAUUGGGCUAGUUAUAAAUUAUAGUUUUCAAAUUUCAGGGCUAAAUUUGCAUACGUAUUAAUGUGAAUCUGACUCCUUAUCUGCAUUACAGGGAAAAAGAUCAUACAUGCUAGAAUAAUCAAGGGAUAUGCACUAUCUCUAAAGUGAAAAUUGUCAGGAAUUCAAAGUAAAUUUCACAUUUAUGGUCAACAUAGCUGACUUCCAGUUUGUUUCCAGUUUGGCUACUUUGGCUUCAAAUUUGAAAAUUAAUUUUGAAUACACUUCAAAUCCCUGGCAAUUUUCACUUUAGUGAAUAACCCUGAUAGCGUAGUUCUUGUAUACAUUAUAUAUUUGCACAUGGUUUUGAGAUUUUGCACAUUUUCUUUAUAUAUAACAUGUCUUCUAAAAGACUUGUUACAGCCAUUUUGUUAAUUUUGCCUUUCACUUGCAAAGCAACUAUGAGGAAAUCAUUAAUCAAACAGGUAAUAUAUUACUUGAAUCUGUUUAAAAAAAAAAAAUCAACAAUAUGUGGGGGUUUUUCAAGACAUGUGUGAUUCCUCCCUCCCUCCCUACGCAAACUAAUGACAUCAUUGAGUCUAGGAGACACUUUGAGGAGUUCCAGAGUUUAUUUUGUGUCACAAUGAAACAAGAUUUAACCCUGUUCUGCACACUAUUUGGGCCCCAGUUUGUGGGUGGCUGAUACACGAUUAAGUGUUUUUAUCCUGUUCAGCCAGAGCUGACUGCCUAUGUUUUUGCUGACUGCAUAACACAGAGACAGUUUCCUAAUAAAAUAUCUGAACUCUG